GGCUCUCUACCCGUUGGUGACCUGUCUGCUGUGUGUCAGCCAGAAGCAUUUCUUCCUCAACAAAUGGACUGUCUUCCUCAACAACUGCCUCUCCAACAUCAAGAGUAAGGACCCCAAGAUGGCGCGUGUUGCCCUGGAGUCUCUUUACCGUCUUCUGUGGGUCUACAUGAUCAGGAUCAAGUGUGAGAGCAACACUGCUACGCAAGGGCGUCUCAACACCAUCAUUACAACACUCUUCCCCAGGGGCUCUCGCAGUGUGGUGCCCAGAGAUAUGCCCCUCAACAUCUUCGUCAAAAUGAUCCAGUUUAUUGCACAGG